UUUUUAGGGGAAUAAAGAAGUGUCCUGUGGAGAGGAGUUGCGAGGAUGAUACCGGAGCGCGUCGGUGAGCGGAUCCUUUUCCACCGGUGAUAAUAAAGCCUUAGAAAUAAAGCCUUAGAAAUAGUUGGGAGGAGGGAGGGACCGCUAUUCCUGCUAGGGCAGGUUUACAACUGAUGUCUUACACCCACUCCAGGAAACAAACCUGGGUAGGGACUGACGUGUUACGCCUCUUCUAAUGACAUUUUUUUUCUUUCCACCUCCUUUUCUUUGCCAUGUAACACAGAGGAGAAGCCCCCUGAAACGCACGCCACCUAUCUUCACGGGAGGGGAUAAUUGAGGAGAGCCAAACGUGAGCAUCUUCUGGGUUGAACGUUAAGUUUUUUUUCUUUUUUCCCUCCCUCUCUCUCCCCCUCUUUUCUUUCCCCUCACUCUCCUUUCUCUUUCUCCAUCUCUUCUGUUUUUGAGUGAAACCAACUAUGUCGGGCUUCGACGCGCGGAGCAAAGAACAGGCGACAGUGUUUUUUGCCUUUCUUCGCGUGAAUGCAUGCAUGCUUGUGUGUGUGUGUGUGCGCGUGCGUCCGCGCGCGAGUGUGUGCACGUGUAGAAGGGGGGGAGAAACUUGAUGCGCGUCCACGCUGGCUGCAGUCAUCAUGGGAACCUGGCAGAGGAGAGGCGCCCGGCAUUUCCAUUUGAAAAGAGGCAAUCACCAGGCCACUGCUGAGCCCAUUGUCCGGUGGUGGAGGGGAAGCGGCGGCAAUUUACAGGCAGGGGGAGUUAACCUUCUGAUGAGGUUGACGCCUCGUUCAUCUCACUGCCUCUCCUGCGGCGAGGCCGUUAACCGGGCCAGCUUCUAACCACACCCACGAGGUCCUGACCUCAUCUGUGAUCCCCAUUUGUAUGAAGGAUGCUUCAUAUUUUCACCCGCGCAGCCGAUUGGCUACGCAACGCGACAACAAAACAAAAAAAAAACAUCCAACAGAUUAAGACUGUGACAAAGGAAGGUCCAGGUCAUGCCGUUUGAAAUUUUCAGAGAAUUAUUUGUUCCCAACGAAUAACAGUGACCACAACAGAUAGAGACGUCAGCUGGGCCCUGGCUCCUGGAAUGUUUCCUUUCAAAUGAGCGACCGCAGACAUGAUUCAGCGGAACUGGGAGAGUUCUAAUUUCUCACUGAUCUAAAUCAAUUUUCAAAGGCAUUUGUCCCUUAGACCAAACACUCUAAAAGUGACAUUCUUUUUGAUGAUUGCGUGGCACAGGCCGUUUCCCAGACCUGCUUAAGUGCUGUUGGAAAAAGGACAACGCCUUCAUUCAUGUGAAGAGGGCACAAGCCCAAAAAGCAAUAUGGAAGGACAAAAAAACUGAUUCUAGUUUUGUCGUGUUGCAAAGCUACGACAUUCAGUAACUGGAAAAGCAAGAUUCCCAUCAAAUAUUGUUUAUUUUCAUCUUAAAGUUGCUGCAGGAUUGUGGAGAGGUUUUAUUCUACAAGGUUAAAUAGUCAAUUGGCAAAAAACAAAUUCAAAAAGUUCAAAAUUGCAUCAGCUGCGUCCUUAAAAGUCUCGUCCCGGCUCAAACAGACAGAUCUGCCUCAUGGCCGAAGUUUAUCUUCUCCUGUUCUGACAGGCUGUUUGUGACAGGUGCAGGGAGUGUGUGUGUGCAUGAAAGUGUGUGUGCGUGUAUGUGAUAGGUCCCCCCCCCCCUUCAUCCAUCUCUCCCUCGCAC